rnacentral:rRNA from 1 species
GACGAACCGUGCGAACGUUGUUCGGAUUCACUGGGCUUAAAGGGCGCGUAGGCGGGCAUCCAAGUCAGGGGUGAAAUUUUUCGGCCCAACCGGAAAAGUGCCUUUGAUACUGGGUGCCUCGAGUGAGGUAGGGGCAUGUGGAACUUCCGGUGGAGCGGUGAAAUGCGUAGAUAUCGGAAGGAACGCCGGUGGCGAAAGCGACGUGCUGGACCUCAACUGACGCUGAGGCGCGAAAGCUAGGGGAGCAAACGGG